CCUACGGGAGGCAGCAGUGAGGAAUAUUGGUCAAUGGACGCAAGUCUGAACCAGCCAAGUCGCGUGCAGGAUGACGGCCCUAUGAGUUGUAAACUGCUUUUGUCCGGGGGUAAACGGCGACACGCGUAUCUUUCUGCGAGUAUCUUACGAAUAAGGAUCGGCUAACUCCGUGCCAGCAGCCGCGGUAAUACGGAGGAUUCAAGCGUUAUCCGGAUUUAUUGGGUUUAAAGGGUGCGUAGGCGGUCGGUUAAGUUAGCGGGGAAAUCCCGGGGCUCAACCUCGGAAUUGCCGCUGAAACUGGUGGGCUAGAGUGUAGGUGCGGUAGGCGGAAUGUGUGGUGUAGCGGUGAAAUGCUUAGAGAUCAUGCAGAACACCGAUUGCGAAGGCAGUAUAC
rnacentral:rRNA from 1 species